rnacentral:lncRNA from 1 species
UUUUUCUUAAGCUGUAGUUUUUAUCUAAGAAUCAUAGUAAAUUAUUCUCCAGCAUGAUGCAAUCUUUGAAGCAUAUAAUGAAAAUUACAAAAAUGCAAAGAUAUAAGCAUUUUAUAUGGAGUUUAAACUUUUUCACUAGGUCAUAUUCUGAAUUUCAUAAGAAUUUUCAAAGAGGCUUUCAAAAUUUAUAAUUUGAGAUAUGUAUCUUCCACAUUGUAGCUCAUCUUAAGUUAUUAAGAUUGAAAAUACAUAUUUCAAUCACAUCAGAGCACAUUCAGAAUCUUUGUAGUUUAUAUUGAAUUUUGGUACAAAUUGGAGCAAUUUAUUAUGUACCAAUGUUAGGCAAGAUGAAGGAUAACUCAGAAAUAAUUCAUUCUGCCUAAUUCACAAAUUUAGAUUAUUAUUAUUUUUUAUUUUUCAGAAUAUAUGCACUAAAACAAAAUGAUUUUGUUGUUGAUAACAACAUGUUUCAAUCAAAUUAUCUAGGCAUGAAGCAUUACAAAUUAUAUUUAGGAAAGAUCUUUGUUAUUUGAAUAUUG